CAGGUGUCAAAUAUCAGCUUACCAUUACUGAGGAGAACAAUGACAAGUACAGCUGUGAAGUUAAGAAAGAGAAUGGUUAUGACAAGAAAGAAAUCCGUCUUGUCAUUGAAAGGUGCCCAAAUACCUGUCGAUGUACAAUUGCAGUUGGAAUCAUGGACGCAGCUACUUGCAUUGAAUGUCGAGGAAAACACUUACAGACAGUUCCACGGCACUUACCCUUUUCUACAGCGAAAUUGUGGUUACAAAAUAACAAGAUCAAGAAGCUGCGAGGUGACUCGUUUUCUCAGUUAGUCAGGCUGCGAGAG